GUGUUACUUUGGCAGCAUAUUUACUAGAAGUGAAACAAUACAGAGAAGAUUAGCACAGCUUCUGUGCACAGAUGACAUGCAAAUUCACAAAGAGUUUCACAUUUUU